rnacentral:rRNA from 1 species
AACGAACGCUGGCGGCAUGCCUAACACAUGCAAGUCGAACGGGAUCCGAGCUUCGGUUCGGUGAGAGUGGCGGACGGGUGAGUAACGCGUGGGAACCUGCCCAGUGGUGGGGGAUAACUGCGGGAAACUGCAGCUAAUACCGCAUGAGCCCGAGAGGGGAAAGAUUUAUCGCCAUUGGAGGGCCCGCGUUCGAUUAGGUAGUUGGUGAGGUAACGGCUCACCAAGCCGACGAUCGAUAGCUGGUCUGAGAGGAUGAUCAGCCACACUGGGACUGAGAUACGGCCCAGACUCCUACGGGAGGCAGCAGUGGGGAAUAUUGGACAAUGGGCGAAAGCCUGAUCCAGCAAUGCCGCGUGAGUGAUGAAGGCCUUAGGGUUGUAAAGCUCUUUUACCCGGGAUGAUAAUGACAGUACCGGGAGAAUAAGCCCCGGCUAACUCCGUGCCAGCAGCCGCGGUAAU